CAGCCGCCGCGGGAAUACGAAGGGUGCAAGCGUUAAUCGGAAUUACUGGGCGUAAAGCGUGCGUAGGCGGUUUGUUAAGUCUGCUGUGAAAUCCCCGGGCUCAACCUGGGAAUGGCAGUGGAUACUGGCAAGCUAGAGUGUGUCGGAGGAUGGUGGAAUUCCCGGUGUAGCGGUGAAAUGCGUAGAGAUCGGGAGGAACAUCAGUGGCGAAGGCGGCCAUCUGGGACAACACUGACGCUGAGGCACGAAAGCGUGGGGAGCAAACAGGAUUAGAUACCCCCGUAGUCCCUGUCUCUUAUAC
rnacentral:rRNA from 1 species